CGGCGUGCCUAAUACAUGCAAGUCGAACGAACUCUGGUAUUGAUUGGUGCUUGCAUCAUGAUUUACAUUUGAGUGAGUGGCGAACUGGUGAGUAACACGUGGGAAACCUGCCCAGAAGCGGGGGAUAACACCUGGAAACAGAUGCUAAUACCGCAUAACAACUUGGACCGCAUGGUCCGAGCUUGAAAGAUGGCUUCGGCUAUCACUUUUGGAUGGUCCCGCGGCGUAUUAGCUAGAUGGUGGGGUAACGGCUCACCAUGGCAAUGAUACGUAGCCGACCUGAGAGGGUAAUCGGCCACAUUGGGACUGAGACACGGCCCAAACUCCUACGGGAGGCAGCAGUAGGGAAUCUUCCACAAUGGACGAAAGUCUGAUGGAGCAACGCCGCGUGAGUGAAGAAGGGUUUCGGCUCGUAAAACUCUGUUGUUAAAGAAGAACAUAUCUGAGAGUAACUGUUCAGGUAUUGACGGUAUUUAACCAGAAAGCCACGGCUAACUACGUGCCAGCAGCCGCGGUAAUACGUAGGUGGCAAGCGUUGUCCGGAUUUAUUGGGCGUAAAGCGAGCGCAGGCGGUUUUUUAAGUCUGAUGUGAAAGCCUUCGGCUCAACCGAAGAAGUGCAUCGGAAACUGGGAAACUUGAGUGCAGAAGAGGACAGUGGAACUCCAUGUGU
rnacentral:rRNA from 2 species